rnacentral:rRNA from 1 species
UUGCCUUUAGUUGCCAGCAUUAAGUUGGGCACUCUAGAGGGACUGCCGAGGAUAACUCGGAGGAAGGUGGGGAUGACGUCAAAUCAUCAUGCCCCUUAUGCUUAGGGCUACACACGUGCUACAAUGGGUGGUACAGAGGGUUGCCAAGCCGCGAGGUGGAGCUAAUCCCUUAAAGCCAUUCUCAGUUCGGAUUGUAGGCUGAAACUCGCCUACAUGAAGCUGGAGUUACUAGUAAUCGCAGAUCAGAAUGCUGCGGUGAAUGCGUUCCCGGGUCUUGUACACACCGCCCGAAA